AUAAGCAAUCUAUACCGUGAAACUGCGAAUCCGCUCAUUAAAUCAGUUAUCGUUUAUUUGAUAGUACCUACUUACUUGGAUAACCGUGGUAAUUCUAGAGCUAAUACAUGCUAAAAACCUCGACUUCGGAAGGGGUGUAUUUAUUAGAUAAAAAACCAAUGCCCUCCGGGGCUCCCUGGUGAUUCAUAAUAACUAAACGAAUCGCAUGGCCUUGCGCCGGCGAUGGUUCAUUCAAAUUUCUGCCCUAUCAACUUUCGAUGGUAGGAUAGUGGCCUACCAUGGUGGCAACGGGUAACGGGGAAUUAGGGUUCUAUUCCGGAGAGGGAGCCUGAGAAACGGCUACCACAUCCAAGGAAGGCAGCAGGCGCGCAAAUUACCCAAUCCCGACACGGGGAGGUAGUGACAAUAAAUACUGAUGUGGAGCUCUUUAGGGUUUCACAAUUGGAAUGAGAAAAAUCUAAACCACUUAAACGAGGAACAAUUGGAGGGCAAGUCUGGUGCCAGCAGCCGCGGUAAUUCCAGCUCCAAUAGCGUAUAUUAAAGUUGUUGCAGUUAAAAAGCUCGUAGUUGAACCUUGGGCCUGGCCGGCCGGUCCGCCUCACCGCGUGCACUGGUUCGGCCGGGCCUUUCCUCCUGGGGAACCGCAUGCCCUUCACUGGGUGUGCCGGGGAAUCAGGACUUUUACUUUGAAAAAAUUAGAGUGUUCAAAGCAGGCAUUUGCUCGAAUACAUUAGCAUGGAAUAAUAGAAUAGGACGUUGUGGUUCUAUUUUGUUGGUUUCUAGGACCGCCGUAAUGA
rnacentral:rRNA from 1 species